GAUGAACGCUGGCGGCGUGCUUAACACAUGCAAGUCGAACGGAAAGGCUCCUGCUUGCAGGGGUACUCGAGUGGCGAACGGGUGAGUAACACGUGGGUGAUCUGCCCUGCACUUCGGGAUAAGCCUGGGAAACUGGGUCUAAUACCGGAUAGGACCACAUUUUGGAUGGUGUGGUGGAAAGUUUUUCGGUGUGGGAUGAGCUCGCGGCCUAUCAGCUUGUUGGUGGGGUAAUGGCCUACCAAGGCGUCGACGGGUAGCCGGCCUGAGAGGGUGUACGGCCACAUUGGGACUGAGAUACGGCCCAGACUCCUACGGGAGGCAGCAGUGGGGAAUAUUGCACAAUGGGAGCAAGCCUGAUGCAGCGACGCAGCGUGGGGGAUGACGGCCUUCGGGUUGUAAACUCCUUUCGCUAGGGACGAAGCGCAAGUGACGGUACCUGGAGAAGAAGCACCGGCUAACUACGUG
rnacentral:rRNA from 1 species